rnacentral:rRNA from 1 species
UACGGGGGGGGCAAGCGUUGUUCGGAAUUACUGGGCGUAAAGGGUUCGUAGGUGGCCCAUUAAGUCAGACGUGAAAUCCCUCAGCUCAACUGGGGAACUGCGUCUGAGACUGGAUGGCUUGAGUGCAGGAGAGGAACGCGGAAUUCCAGGUGUAGCGGUGAAAUGCGUAGAUAUCUGGAGGAACACCGGUGGCGAAGGCGGCGUUCUGGACUGCAACUGACGCUGAGACGCGAAAGCGUGGGGAGCGAACCGG